rnacentral:rRNA from 1 species
AUUGAACGCUGGCGGCAGGCCUAACACAUGCAAGUCGAGCGAGCGGCGGACGGGUGAGUAAUGUCUGGGAAACUGCCUGAUGGAGGGGGAUAACUACUGGAAACGGUAGCUAAUACCGCAUACCAUCAGAUGUGCCCAGAUGGGAUUAGCUAGUAGGUGGGGUAACGGCUCACCUAGGCGACGAUCCCUAGCUGGUCUGAGAGGAUGACCAGACACACUGGAACGGGGAAACGGUGCAGAGUCAUACGGGAGGCAGCAGUGGGGGAUAUUGCACAAUGGGCGCAAGCCUGAUGCAGCCAUGCCGCGGGUGGGAAGAAGGCCUUCUGGUUGUAAAGCACUUUCAGCGGGGAGGCGUUACCCGCAGAAGAAUCACCGGCGAACUCCGUGCAAGCAGCCGCGGUAAUUC